GAUGAAGAACGCAGCGAAAUGCGACACGUAAUGUGAAUUGCAGAAUUCAGUGAAUCAUCGAGUCUUUGAACGCACAUUGCGCCCCCUGGUAUUCCGGGGGGCAUGCCUGUCCGAGCGUCAUUGCUGCCCUCAAGCACGGCUUGUGUGUUGGGCCUCCGUCCUCCUCCCGGGGGACGGGCCCGAAAGGCAGCGGCGGCACCGCGUCCGGUCCUCGAGCGUAUGGGGCUUCGUCACCCGCUCUUGUAGGCCCGGUCGGCGCUUGCCGACACAUCAAUCUUUUUUCCAGGUUGACCUCGGAUCAGGUAGGGAUACCCGCUGAACUUAAGCAUAUCAAUAAGCGGAGGA
rnacentral:misc_RNA from 1 species